AUGAUGAAUUGGAGGAAGGGUGGGAUGAUGUCAAGUCCUCAUGGCCCUUAUGGGUUGGGCUACACAUAUGAUACAGUGGCUGAUGCU
rnacentral:rRNA from 13 species